AAGACUAUACUUUCAGGGAUCAUUUCUAUAGUUUGUUCCCUUAACCAAAUGCCUACUACAGCUUAGAUCAGGCAGGGAUCUCCAGCAAGC
rnacentral:snoRNA from 1 species